rnacentral:rRNA from 1 species
GAUGAACGCUGGCGGCGUGCUUAACACAUGCAAGUCGAACGGAAAGGCUCCUGCUUGCAGGGGUACUCGAGUGGCGAACGGGUGAGUAACACGUGGGUGAUCUGCCCUGCACUUCGGGAUAAGCCUGGGAAACUGGGUCUAAUACCGGAUAGGACCACGUUUUGGAUGCUAUUGGUGAGAGUUUUUCGGUGUGGGAUGAGCUCGCGGCGUAUCAGCUUGUUGGUGGGGUAAUGGCCUACCAAGGCGUCGACGGGUAGCCGGCCUGAGAGGGUGUACGGCCACAUUGGGACUGAGAUACGGCCCAGACUCCUACGGGAGGCAGCAGUGGGGAAUAUUGCACAAUGGGCGCAAGCCUGAUGCAGCGACGCCGCGUGCGGGAUGACGGCCUUCGGGUUGUAAACUGCUUUCGCUAGGGACGAAGCGCGAGUGACGGUACCUGGUGAAGAAGCACCGGCUAACUACGUG